rnacentral:rRNA from 1 species
CGACCCCAGCUCAGGCGAGAACACCCGCUGAGUUUAAGCAUAUAAUUAAGUGGAGGAAAAGAAACUUACAAGGAUUCCCCUAGUAACGGCGAGCAAACCAGGAAGAGCCCAGCAUGAAAAUUGGGUGACAGCAUUGCCUGAAUUGUAGUCUAUAGAAGCAUCCUUAGCAAUGGACCAGGACCAAAUCCCCUGGAAGGGGACACCUGAGAGGGUGACAGCCCCGUCGGGCCGGGACCCUACCACUCCAAGAGGCAUUGUCAGCGAGUCGGGUUGUUUGGGAAUGCAGCCCUAAUCGGGUGGUAAAUUUUGUCCAAGCUUAAAUAUGGGUGAGAUACCGAUAGCAAACAAGUACCAUGAGGGAAAGAUGAAAAGGAAUUUGAAAAGAGAGUUAAAGAGUGUGUGAAAUUUCCAGGAGGGAAUCGGAUGGAGGCCGACGAUGCGUCUCAGUCAGAUGUGGAAUGGAUCAAGUUGGUCCACCACUUGACUCGAGGUGCGAACCAACACAGGCCAUUGCAUUGGCACAAGCAUGGGUGGAGUAUUGUCUAUUGGUUUGUCAUUGUGGUGGUCGAGGAAUGAAGCAUGCACCCUUGGGAUGGGCCACUUUUCACUUGCACGCUCGUGGUGUUGGUUGGCGGGAUUUCCAUUCGACCUGUCUUGAAACAUGGACCAAGGAGUCUAACAUGUGUGUGAUUCUAUGGGUUUGUAAACCUGUGAGGCGUAAGGAAGCUAACGGGCAAGAACCCCUCUCCAUGGGGUGCAUUAUCGACUGACCUUGAGCUUGUGUGAAGGGUUUGAGUGUGAGCACAGCUAUUGGGACCCAAAAUAUGGUGAACUAUGCCCGAGUAGGUGGAAGCCAGAGGAAACUCUAGUGAAGAGUCGUUGCGAUACUGACAUGCAAAUCAUUCAUCUAACUUGGGUAUAGGGGAAAAAGACUAAUCAAACCAUCUAGUAGCUGGUUUCCUCCGAAGUUUCCCUCAGGAUAGCUGGAGCUCAUGUGCGAGUUUUAUUUGGUAAAGAAAAUGAUUAGAGGCAUUGAGAGCGUAAUGCCCUCGACCUAUUCUCAAACUUUAAAUAGGUAAGACAGUGCGGCUGCUCCAUUGAGCCGUGCCACGGAAUCGAGAGCUCCAAGUGGGCCAUUUUUGGUAAGCAGAACUGGCAAUGCGGGAUGAAUCUAAAGUUGAGUUAUGGUGCCAAACUGCGCACUAACCCAGAUCCCACAAAGGGCGUUGGUUGAUUAAGACAGCAGGACGGUGGUCAUGGAAGUCAAAAUCCACUAAGGAGUGUGUAACAACUCACCUUUCGAAUCAACUAGCCCCGAAAAUGGAUGGUGUUGAAGCGCGUGACAUAUACUCGACCGUCGGAGCAAUUGUCAGUAUUCGAUGAGUAGGAGGACAUGGGGGUCAUUGAGAAACCUUGGGUGUGAGCCUGGGUGGACCAGUCCCCGGUGAAGAUCUUGGUGGUAGUAGAAAAUAUUCAAAUGAGAACAUUGAAGCCUGAAGUGGGGAAAAGUUCCAUGUGAACAACACUUGGACAUGGGUUAGAUGAUCCUAAGAUAUGGGGAAGCCUUGUAUCAAGGGUGCACUCUGCACAAACAUCAAAAGGGAAUCGAGUUAAUAAUCCUGAACCAGGACAUGACGGCAGACAACAACGUUAGGAAAUCCAGAGACAUCGUCAGGGGCCCUGGGAAGAGUUAUAUUUUCUUUUUAAUAGCUUGCCCACUCUAAAAUCGGCUCAACCAGAGAUAGGGUCCAGUAGCUAGAAGAGCAUCACACGUCUUGCAGUUUCUGGUGCACCUUCGAUGACCCUUUAAAAUCUGGAGGACCGAGUAUCAUCCAUGCCCGAUCAUACUCAUAACCACAUCAGGUCUCCAAGGUGAACAACCUCUGGUCAAUAGAACAAUGUAGGUAAGAGAAGUCGGUAAAAUGGAUCUGUAACUUCAGGAAAAGGAUUGGCUCUGAGGGCUGGGCAUAGGGGUCUGCAUCCUCAACCCAUGGGUUGUCGAUAGUCUACCCAAGAUGCUAUCGUAGUGAAGGUGAGUAGUCGUGUGUCGAUUAGGCUACGAACGUAGAAUGUCCUCUCCCAGGGGAUUUUCCCUAGGCAGUGAAUAGUCGACUUAGAACUGGUACAGACAAGGGGAAUCUAACUAUUUAAUUAAAACAAAGCAUUGCGAUGGUCCCUGCAGAUGUUGAUGCAAUGUGAUUUCUUCCCAGUGCUCUGAAUGUCAAAGUGAAGAAAUUCAACCAAGCACGAAUAAACGACGGGAGUAACUAUGACUCCCUAAAGGUAGCCAAAUGCCUCAUCAUCUAAUUAGUGACACGCAUGAAUGGAUUAACAAGAUUCCCACUCUCCCUAUCUACUAUCUAGUGAAACCACAACCAAGGGAACGAGCUUGGCGGAAUCAAUGGGGAAAGAAGACCCUGUUGAGCUUGACUUUAGUCCAACUUUGUGAAAUGACUUGAGAGGUGUAGAAUAAGUGGGAGACAUUUUCAACGUAAGUGAAAUACCACUACUUUUAACUUUAUUUUAAUUAUUUCGUGGGGCAGAGACAGGGCAUUACCCCUCUUUUUGGCCUUAAGACACGUUUCGAUGGGUCGAUCUAGGCAGAAGACAUUGUCAAGUGGGGAGUUUGGCUGGGGCAUCACAUAUGUUAAAAGAUAAUGCAAGUGUCCUAAGAUGAGCUCAAUGAGAACAAAAAUCUCGUGUGGAACAAAAGGGUAAAAGCUCAUUUCAUUUUGUUUUUUAGUACGAAUACAAACCGUGAAAGCGUGGCCUAUCAAUCCUUUAGGAUUUCAGAAUUUGAAGCUAGAGGUGUCAGAAAAGUUACCACGAGGAUAACUGGCUUGUGGUAGCCAAGCGUUCAUAGUGACGUUUCUUUUUUAUCCUUCGAUGUCGACUCUUCCUAUGAUUAAGAAGCAGAAUUCACCAUGUGUUGGAUUGUUCACCCACCAAUAGGGAACGUGAGUUGGGUUUAGACUGUCAUGAGACAGGUUAGUUUUACCCUACUAAUGAAUCGCACCGCAAUAGUAAUUCAACUUAGUACAAGAGGAACCGUUGAUUCACACAAUUGGUCAUCGCGCUUGGUUGAAAAGCCAGUGGUGCAAAGCUACCGUGUGUCAGAUUAUGAUUGAACGCCUCUAAGUCAGAAUCCAUGCUAGAAGUGGCGCUUGUCACUCUUCCACUGUAUCUUGACCCACAGUAGGGGUGUCACUUCGGCACCCCCAGGGGUCCGUGUCACUUGCGAACCUUAGCUAGGAAGUGUCUCGGUCGGGGCAACUUUGAAGUUCAAUUUCAAACGGUCGUUGAGAAGAAUCCUUUGCAUACGAAUUAAAUACACGAUGGGGUAUUGUAAGUGGUAGAGUGGCCUUGCUACCAUGAUCCACUGAUAUUUAUCCCUUCGUCACCUUGAUUCAG